rnacentral:rRNA from 1 species
UACGUAGGCAGCGAGCGUUGUUCGGAGUUACUGGGCGUAAAGGGUGUGUAGGCGGUUCUUUAAGUUUGGUGUGAAAUCUCCCGGCUCAACCGGGAGGGUGCGCCGAAUACUGAGGAACUAGAGUACGGGAGAGGAAAGUGGAAUUCCUGGUGUAGCGGUGAAAUGCGCAGAUAUCAGGAAGAACACCCGUGGCGAAAGCGGCUCUCUGGAACGGUACUGACGCUGAGACGCGAAAGCGUGGGGAGCGAACAGG